AAUAAAUAUCCGCCAUAGACAGCCGGUGCCGCAAGGCUUAAUAUCCUGCCGAGGUGAAAUCAAGAGUUUAUUUGCUGUGCAAAGACUUUUUCAUCCCCUGUCCUAUGGUCGGGGGAUAUUUAUUUG
rnacentral:sRNA from 2 species